rnacentral:rRNA from 1 species
CUUAGUACGAGAGGACCGGGAUGGACGUACCUCUGGUGUACCAGUUGUCCUGCCAAGGGCAUGGCUGGGUAGCUAUGUACGGAAUGGAUAAGCGCUGAAAGCAUCUAAGCGCGAAGCCAACUUCAAGCUAAGAUUUCCCACCGCAAGGGUAAGACCCCAGAAAGACUAUCUGGUUGAUAGGUCGAAGGUGUAAGUGCAGCAAUGUAUUUAGCUUAUCGAUACUAAUAGGUCGAGGACUUGACCAAU